GGGCGGAUUGCGGGCCUACCAUGCAAGUCGAGCGGUAACAGGGGGAGCUUGCACCCCGCUGACGAGCGGCGGACGGGUGAGUAAUGCAUAGGAAUCUGCCCGAUAGUGGGGGAUAACCUGGGGAAACCCAGGCUAAUACCGCAUACGUCCUACGGGAGAAAGGGGGCUCCGGCUCCCGCUAUCGGAUGAGCCUAUGUCGGAUUAGCUGGUUGGUGAGGUAAAGGCUCACCAAGGCGACGAUCCGUAGCUGGUCUGAGAGGAUGAUCAGCCACAUCGGGACUGAGACACGGCCCGAACUCCUACGGGAGGCAGCAGUGGGGAAUAUUGGACAAUGGGGGCAACCCUGAUCCAGCCAUGCCGCGUGUGUGAAGAAGGCCCUCGGGUUGUAAAGCACUUUCAGUGAGGAAGAACGCCUGGUGGUUAAUACCCAUCAGGAAAGACAUCACUCACAGAAGAAGCACCGGCUAACUCCGUGCCAGCAGCCGCGGUAAUACGGAGGGUGCGAGCGUUAAUCGGAAUUACUGGGCGUAAAGCGCGCGUAGGUGGCUUGAUAAGCCGGUUGUGAAAGCCCCGGGCUCAACCUGGGAACGGCAUCCGGAACUGUCAAGCUAGAGUGCAGGAGAGGAAGGUAGAAUUCCCGGUGUAGCGGUGAAAUGCGUAGAGAUCGGGAGGAAUACCAGUGGCGAAGGCGGCCUUCUGGACUGACACUGACACUGAGGUGCGAAAGCGUGGGUAGCAAACAGGAUUAGAUACCCUGGUAGUCCACGCCGUAAACGAUGUCGACCAGCCGUUGGGUGCCUAGCGCACUUUGUGGCGAAGUUAACGCGAUAAGUCGACCGCCUGGGGAGUACGGCC
rnacentral:rRNA from 1 species